GGCUGACUGAGGAGGAAGACAUGGGAUUGACGCGAUCCAUCAACGUCCUAGUGGUCGGUGCGGCCUUCGCUUUUGUCGUAACGAUGCUUUUCAUCUGACGGCUUUGACGAAAUUCGCAGACGAUCAAACUCCGAAAAGCUAACAAAACCCCUGCCUUAUUAGAAAAGCGCAUGCCCGGGCCGGACAUGCGCUUU
rnacentral:sRNA from 7 species